rnacentral:lncRNA from 1 species
GCAUUGUCAUUGUCCUCAAGUGAAGAAUUUUUCAGCUGAAAUUUCUGAUCUCUGUCCUCAGAUCUUUAUAUCCCCAGCACUGCUCCGGGAGAAGUGAUGGAACUUCUGCACUGACUCUGAGUCAAAUCCAGCACUGUUUGAUUUAGUUCAUGUUCCUCCUACAAGUGAUCAGGACAUUUGCUGGGAAGGUGGAAGGGCAAGACUGCUCCAGCAGUCCAACUAUAAGGAUAUUUACCUUGGAGAUGUCAUUGCUUCAUGGAGAACAGACCUGAGUGGUAUCACUACCAGGCAGGCACACAACCACCUGAAUCCAUCCCUGAAGAAAUAUGGGUGAUUACCUCCCUCAUAGGUGUUUGCACACAAGUUACAACUGACACAUCAGAAAACCCCCCAAAACCUGGAUGGAAAACGUCAACAGAAUUUUGGACUCUUGUUUCAGAUACUUGGGGGUCUUCAUCUGCUAGAUUACAGAGGCAUGCUGUCUUUAGCACAAAAGGAGAAGUGUUUAUCAUGAUGCUGGAAGGGCUGGAGGUGCAGCUUCCCUGGGGUAGAGUGGGGAGAGAAAGGAAAUGUUAUUGGUGUUCAACACCUGAGAUUCAGCUGAGCUGAAAUAUAGUUGGCUGCUGCUGUACAGAGUCAAAAGGCUUAAUUAGUUUUCAGCUGCUUCCUGAAUUGUGUUGGACUAGAGUAGAAAUUCAUUUCUUUUUCCAUGCUUUUCUCAGGUUUGGUAAGCAUCACUCCAGAGUAUGUGGAGAAUAAGGCUGCAGCACUGACUGAAAAUAAUGAUAUUUUUUACUUUAUUUGUGACGAGACACCAGGAAAAAAGACACAUAACAGCUACAAGGAUGUUAUUGAAUGGAUAUGGAAAUUUGCAGACUUAUUGCUGGUCACAUAUGACCUAAAGAAAUAUUGGAGGAUUGUAUGCAUAGAGCCAGAUUUUCAGUUUGCCAGACACUAACAGUCUGACUGUAAGUGGAAUCUACGGGUGUUCAAUAUCCUGGAAAAUUAGCUACAGAUGUUUCUAGUUUGAUAUGUAAAUAUGUAGGCAAUAAAUACUGUGAGCAUUUGGAUUUGUAAUUUAAU